rnacentral:rRNA from 1 species
UACGUAGGGGGCAAGCGUUGUCCGGAUUCAUUGGGCGUAAAGAGCUCGUAGGCGGCUUGGCAAGUCGGGUGUGAAACCUCCAGGCUCAACCUGGAGACGCCACCCGAUACUGCCAUGGCUAGAGUCCGGUAGGGGACCACGGAAUUCCUGGUGUAGCGGUGAAAUGCGUAGAUAUCGGAAGGAACACCGGUGGCGAAAGCGGCGCGCUGGACCUCUUCUGACGCUGAGGCGCGAAAGCCAGGGGAGCGAACGGG